rnacentral:tRNA from 2 species
GGUGGCGUGGCCGAGUUGGUCUAAGGCGUCGGAUUUAAGUCCCGAUGGGAGCAAUCCCGCGCGAGUUCGAACCUCGCCGCCACCA